rnacentral:tRNA from 1 species
GCGUCCUUAGCUCAGCUGGAUAGAGUACUGCUGGCUGCGAACCAUAAGGCGGUCGGAGGUUCGAAUCCUCCAGGACGCGCCA